rnacentral:lncRNA from 1 species
UUGGCUUUGGAGAGAUGGGAAGGUGGCAUCGUGGUUGUGUGCUGCCAUGAUCCCAGAAUGUAGGACAGUAUGCAGAGGCCAGUAACGCAUAGAAUCCAAGUUAAGCGCUUUCUCUUUGAUUCUAGCUGGUGUGCCUUUGGCGAUCCCACCAUUUUUGAACCUUCUGUGUUUUUUUUUGCAGGCUUUUUUUUCUCUUCAGCAAUUCACCAGUCACUUGCUAGGCUCUGCUGAGAAACAGAAGAAAGUGUAAUCAGAAUCAAAUGAAUCUAUGCGAUUCAGGGGAAAUAAUUUCUAUGGCGAGGAAUCCCUUCCAGGGGCGUCACUUAAUUAUUUUGUGACGUUGUAGUUAGGUAAAUUCGAGAGCUGUCGACCUUUAACCCGUGUAUUUAUUUUAUUUUAGCAGACCGGAGUGAUAGUUGAUGAAUAAGGACGAAUGAACACGAGAAAACUAUGUGAUUUCUUAUCAGAGUGAUCGACUAAUUCACGAAGAAAG